AGUGAACGCUGGCGGCAGGCCUAACACAUGCAAGUCGAACGGCAGCACAGGAGAGCUUGCUCUCCGGGUGGCGAGUGGCGGACGGGUGAGGAACACAUCGGAAUCUACCUUGUCGUGGGGGAUAACGUAGGGAAACUUACGCUAAUACCGCAUACGAACUAUGGUUGAAAGCGGCGGACCGCAAGGCGUCGCGCGAUUGGAUGAGCCGAUGUCCGAUUAGCUAGUUGGCGGGGUAAAGGCCCACCAAGGCGACGAUCGGUAGCUGGUCUGAGAGGAUGAUCAGCCACACUGGAACUGAGACACGGUCCAGACUCCUACGGGAGGCAGCAGUGGGGAAUAUUGGACAAUGGGGGCAACCCUGAUCCAGCCAUGCCGCGUGUGUGAAGAAGGCCUUCGGGUUGUAAAGCACUUUUGUUGGGGAAGAAAAGCGGUCGGUUAAUACCCGAUUGUUCUGACGGUACCCAAAGAAUAAGCACCGGCUAACUUCGUGCCAGCCGCCGCUGUAA
rnacentral:rRNA from 1 species